GUAGAAUUCAUCACUCCUCCUCGUAACAUCCGCCUCGUUAUGUACGUCGGAUGACUCGCCUUGAAUGGGAUGUUGUUGUCGCAUGUUCCUCAACAUGGACUCCCAUUCCGGAUUUGUGGCCGCAAUAACAUCCAAGAAGCCCUCGACUCCACCCAUACGAGAUUUUGUCGCGGUCAACUCGUUACGCAGCUGAGCGGACUCUCUACGCAGCU
rnacentral:lncRNA from 1 species